GCCGGGUGUGGUGGCGCAUGCCUGUAAUCCCAACUACUCAGGAGGCUGAGGUGGGAAAAUCGCUUGAGCCCGGGAAGUGGAGGUUGCAGUGAGUGGAGAUCACGCCACUGCACUCCAGCCUGGGCAACAGAGUGGUACUCUGUCUCAA
ensembl:misc_RNA Metazoa_SRP Metazoan signal recognition particle RNA